UCCUUAGAGGGUAGGUACAUGUUCUGAGUCCUAUGAGAGGUAGUUAGUGUGUUGCUUGUCAUAGAGGGUUAGUAGUAUGUCGCUGGUCCAUAGAGGGUAGUAAGCAUGUCACUGGUCCUAUAGAGGGUAGUUAACAUGUUGUUUCCUAACUGUUGCAUACACAAUAUCAUUUUCCAUUCUGCGGUUAUUACAUGUUACUUUAAACCCCCUUGUCUCUUCCAAACACAAGAACAUUAUGUUCAAUUGUAACAACAGCAUUGUGUCUUAUAAAAUGUGUUUUUGUUUGAAAUGACAAAUGUUUAAAAAAAAUGUUUACAUUUUAUUCUGCUAAUCAAUAAUCAGCCAAAUAAACAGCAAUGGACAAAUUAGGAAUACAUUCGUCGCACACUGUCCAAUUACAUGAUA
rnacentral:lncRNA from 1 species